rnacentral:rRNA from 1 species
GACGAACGCUGGCGGCGUGCUUAACACAUGCAAGUCGAACGAUGAACCACUUCGGUGGGGAUUAGUGGCGAACGGGUGAGUAACACGUGGGCAAUCUGCCCUUCACUCUGGGACAAGCCCUGGAAACGGGGUCUAAUACCGGAUAACACUGCCACGGGCAUCUGUGGUGGUUAAAAGCUCCGGCGGUGAAGGAUGAGCCCGCGGCCUAUCAGCUUGUUGGUGAGGUAAUGGCUCACCAAGGCGACGACGGGUAGCCGGCCUGAGAGGGCGACCGGCCACACUGGGACUGAGACACGGCCCAGACUCCUACGGGAGGCAGCAGUGGGGAAUUUUGCGCAAUGGGGGAAACCCUGACGCAGCAACGCCGCGUGGAGGAUGAAGUCCCUUGGGACGUAAACUCCUUUCGACCCGGACGAUAAUGACGGUACGGGUGGAAGAAGCACCGCUAACUUCGUGCCAGCAGCCGCGGUAAG